rnacentral:rRNA from 1 species
GACAGAGGUGCCGAGCGUUAGGCGGAAUCACUGGGCUUAAAGCGCGUGUAGGCGGCCCUGUAAGUCGGGUGUGAAAUCCCACGGCUCAACCGUGGAAGUGCACUCGAAACUACAGGGCUAGAGUCCUGGAGAGGAAGGUGGAAUGCUUGGUGUAGAGGUGAAAUUCGUAGAUAUCAAGCGGAACACCGGUGGCGAAGGCGGCCUUCUGGACAGUGACUGACGCUGAGACGCGAAAGCGUGGGGAGCAAACAGG